GUGCUCGCUUGGGCAGCACAUAUACUAGCAUUGGAACAAUACAGAGAAGGUAAGCAUGGCCCUGCGCAAGGAUGGACAUGCAAAUUUGUGCAGUCUUCCUUAUUUGU
ensembl:snRNA U6 U6 spliceosomal RNA